UGUUGUACAUUCUAUGGGUUUGAACAAAUGUAUAAUGACAUGUAUCCAUCAUCUUAGUAUCAUAAAGAGUAUUUUCACUGUCCCCCACCACCUCCCGCAAAUCCUCUGUGCUCACCUAUGCAUCACUCUCCACUGUAUUCCCCUCCUGCCCCCCACGACCCCUGGCAACCACUGAUUUUUUUUUUUUUACUGUCUUCAUAGUAUUUCCUUUUCCAGAAUAUCAUAUUAUCAUACAGUUAGAUCUGUUCUCAGAUUGACUUCUUUCACUUAAUAGUAUGCAUUUAAAGUUCCCCCAUGUCUUUUCAUGGCUUGAUAGCUCAUUCCUUUUUAGUGCUAAAUAAUAUUCCAUUGUCUGUAUGUACCACAGUUUAUCCAUUAACCUACUGAAGAUAGAUAUCUUGAUUGCUUCCACAUUUUGUCAGUUAUGAAUAAAACUGCUGUAAACAUCUGUGUGCAGAUUUUUGUAUGGAUAUAAGUUUUCAACUCCUUUGGAUAAAUACCAAGGGCAAAUUGUAUUACUGUAUUUAAAUUCUUUUAUUUUAUACAAUUUAUUAUUGUAUACUGAUCUCAUAUCCAGCAAUCUUGCUAAAUCUGUUCAUUAGUUCUAAUAGUUUUCUAGAGACCUGUUGGCUUUCCAUAUGUGAUCUUGUCAUAUAUGAAUAAUGAUAUUCAUAUUUCCAAUCCACUUAUUUUUUUGUCUUUCCUUUUUACAUUGGCUGGGGGCCUCUGGUACAAUAUUAAAUAGAAUUGUUGAUAGUGAAUAUCUCUGUCUUGUUCCUGUUCUCAAGAAUUAAGCUUCCAGUCUUUUGCUUCAAAUGCCAUGUUUGCUAUAAUUUUUUAUUGACACCUAUGAUCAGAUUAGGGAAGUUUCUUUCUAUUCCUGAUUUGCUAAGAUAUUUUAUUAUGAAAUAAUUUUGAAAAUUUUAUCAGAUGCUCUUUUUGCAUCUAUUGAGACAACCACAUGAUUUUUCACCUUCGUUCUGUUGAUGUAGUGAAUUUCCAUUGACUGCAUUAAAGUAUUAAGCCAACUUUGCAUUCUUGAAGUAAACGUAACUGAGCCUUGGUGUCGUCUUUUAUAUCCGGCCAAAAUAAUCUUUGCUAAUAUUUGUUUAAGGUUUUUUUGUCUAUGUGUUUGGGUGAAAUUAGCUUGUAAUUUUCCUUUCUUAGAAUAUUUCUGACAGAUUUGAGUAUGAAGCUUAUGCCGGCCUCAAAAUAAUUUGAAAAAUAUUAUUUAUUUUACUAGUCUUUGAAGAGUUUGUGUGAGAUUGGUGUUGUUUCUUUCCUUAAAUAGCUUGAAGACUUCACUAGCUAAAUCAGUGUGUGCCUGGAAGGUCUUUUUGUUAACUUUUUAUUUUGGAAUGAUUUUAGACUUACAAAAAAUUUGUAAAAACAGUGCAGAUAUUCCCUGUAUACCAAUAGCUCUUAACUGGGGGUGAUUUUGCCCCUCCAGAGGACAUUUGCAAAUAUAUGAAGACAUUUUACUUGGUCACAAUUUGGGAGCGGAGGGAGGUAGUGCUAAUGGCAUCUGAUGGGUAGAGGCCAGGGGUGCUGCUAAACCUACAGUACACAAGACUGGCCCUCAUGACAAGGAAUUAUGCAGCCCCCUAUGCCAGUAGCGCUGAUAUUGAGAAACCUUGAAUGAGGUCAUUCAUAUCAGCGCUUCAGACUCAUACUUCAGGUACAAGAACUAGAAAACAAGCUUGUAUUAGAAAAAUUGAACUAAAAAUUAAAUUAUUUUAGUCGGAUAUUAUGAUCAUUAUGUAUGUAUAUAUAUCAUGGAUGUUUUAUUGCAUAUAGAUGUCCCAGUUCAUUCAGGAAAACACAAACCAUUCUAGAUAUUUUAAUAGUAAGGGCUUUAGUACAGUGAAUUGAUGCUUAUAAAAUCAUCGAAGCGGGAGGGGCAGUGAGAGUCAAGGGAGAGCUGGUGCUGCCUUUCAGACACUCAGAAAGUAGAGAAUCAGGAUAACAGUUGCCAGUGAUCUCAGCUGCCCAUAACACUGAAUUGGGUGAUUUGCAGAAGUUCAUCCAAAAGCUUUUGCAAACUUCGCAUCUGCCUUUUGCCAGUGCAUCUACCUUCUUGAGAGGAGAAAUGCUAGUUUAUACUUCUCUUCCAUCUUCCUAAUGGCCUAUAAAUUGGAACCUUAUUGGCAAGGAAUUCUUGGCAAUGUCAUAUCCUUCCAGCCCCUUAAAGAGGAAAGGAUAGAAAGGGGUGAGGAUAGUGCUGAGUUAACAGCAGACAGUAUGGCACCGUCCAACCAUUGGGUUACUCAACAUUCUUACACCCCCUCCUGUCCAUAUUUAUCUUCCAUACAAAAGUAAUAACAAAGCAUCCCAUUUCUGCCUAAUGUGAUGCAGUUAUCACUUCUUCAAACAAAAACAUCCACCCUCUUCCCCCAAAAGUGAAGUCUCGGCGUUCCAUGAGUCACUAGCUAUAUCCGGGUAAUAAUCAUUCUUUUCUAAUACGAUCACAAUCAUCCCUUGAUAUGUAACUGCAAAUUAAAAUGUUAAUACUCACCAUUAUGACUUAUAUACAAGAGUAGGAAAAGGGAGAGAGAGAGAAAAAAUUAUACUCUGGCUAUGGGAGAAACAGUAUUAUAGAUUGUUGCUGGUGUAGAGCAUAUACCAUAUUUUGUAUGAGGGCACGUCAGCCCCUCAUCUUGUUGUCACUGAACCUGAACUGAGUUGAAUUUAUUCAGCUAUAACUGAAUCUUCCACAGGCCAUUCUACUGUUCUGUACUGCCAGCUGCUUUGUGUUGAUGGGAUACGUGGUAAAAUAAGCGAAUCCUGUGGGUACGGUCACUUCUUUUACUGUAAAAUGAAAUCCAUUGUCAGAAGUUGUGUUGCGUGAGAUACCACGAUGGUAAAUCGUCGUUUGGAAGUUUGUGCGUGGUGUUGCUAGCAGAAGAGCUAUGGCCAGGGAAAGCAUACAACUAUCCAGUAUAAGUGUCUAUUCCAGUGAAAACAAAUUGCUGGCCUUCCCAUGAUGGUUUCUAAGGAAAUCAACCUGUUACCCUGCGGAUAACUGUACCCUCAAAGGAAUUGUGCCAUGUCAGGAACUCAGCAUUUAUUUAUGUUAACAGUUGGGCCUUCACACUGGCUUAGAUAGAUGAACCUUAGUGAGGAACACGCAUGUCGGUGAUCCCAGCAAAACCUCGGUGUGUGCCAUCCGCCCACUUUACUUGAACUUGCGGAGCAAGUACUUGAACGGCCAUGGAAAGAGGCUGCUAAUGACCUACAGAACAGGACAUCUUGAUCACCUAGUUAUUGAAAGCUGCCUCAGCAAUGAAUGAUCUAUGAAUUCACUUGAGACUCAAAUGUCCUCGUACACUGUGUCCAUUGUGCGAAGUUGAUCCCUAGACCUCCUUGUCACCAGUUUUCCAAUCUUGUUCCCUCUAAGUGCCUGACAAUGUGGCCAAAGCGUUAGCCCCUGCCCACGAAUCUAAAUAGGUCUGUAUAGAUCUGGCGAUCUCUCUUUCUGGGCAAACUGAACAACUAGAUGCACUGCUUAUAUGAGAUGAAUGCUCCCAGUGGGAGUGUCCCUCUUCCUCAUUGUCAUUCAGGGCUACCCUGAGUGCAGCCGUUAACGCUACAGCUAUCCACGUCUGGCGGAUAUAUAGCAAUUUAUUGUGUAUCAUCAUGGGCAAACUAGUUCUGCGUUUUUCCUUCCUUAACUAACUGCUGAUAGGGACGAGUUAAAGGAGAGUUGACAGUUCAUCAGGAGUAGGCGCCACUCCUAGCUGCUCAAGCUAAACAUUGAAAACAGAAGCUCUGAUACAUUUACCCUUAUCAGUAAAUUCCUUCCUGGUCUAGUGCUCUUAAAAUUCAGUCUCAGCUUUUUGUUCAUAUAAACUGGCAAAAUAUUGCAAUCCUUCUGAUGACCUUCCUGGGUCAGUCCUUGUACACAUCCCCAUAGAGCAAGGAUUAGCAAACUCCGGCUUGUGAGAUGACAACCUGUUUUUGUCAAUAAAGUUUUAUCAGGAUACUAUGAUGCCCAUUUUUUAACAUAUUGUUUAUAUCUGCUUUCGCAACAACAGUGUUGAAUAGUUGUAACGGAGAUUCUAUGGCCUGCAAGCCUAAAAUAUUUUCUAUGCAGCUCUUUAAAGAAAAGAUGCCCAUCCCUGCCCUAGACUACAAUAGAAUAUAACUCUAGUUUUAUAUCUAGAAGCAAUGAGAGAUGGUGGAGGUGCAUUUGAGGAGAAUCAGGAUCUGCUUUAAGGGAAAAAAUUGUGGGGUCUUCAGGCCUGGGAGGAAGGAAGUGCUAAUUUCACUGGAACAGAAGAAUGCAGAUGUUCAGGCUUCUCAGUUCAUUGGAAUGCACACGUAUUGCAUAGAUUGGUUACAUUUCCUGAUCUUGGAGAAGUGGGUUUAUGCAGGAGAUGUCCUAUGGGGUCCAGCAGCACACACCCUUCUGGUCCCUUGAGCUAUGUGCUCUAGGAGCGCCCCUGUGUGGGCUGCAUGUGCCCUUCUGAUGUGGUGGAGCCAACUACUGUGGACACACUGUUCUGGAGGCUGGGAAGUCCAGGAUCAAGGCUCCGGCAGAUUCAUUGUCUGAUGACACAGACAUGGAAGACAUUCACUUCCUGGUUUGUAGAUGGCCAUCUUUUUUUGCUGUAUCCUCACACAGAGAAAGAGGGAUGAAGAUAUUUCUUAACAGCAUUUUGCAGUCGUGAAUUCAGAGACUCAUGGAGAACAUCAUUGAAUGUACACUUGUAACUCCUUGAUUUGAAUGAUCCAUGUAGAUAUUUAAACUACACUCAAGGACUAGGACGGCUGGUUGCAUUGAGAAUGUUUGUGGCAGGAGUACUUUUCUGAAUCACAGAGGGACACUGCGCAGUGAAGAUGGACUUCAUCGUAAUCCCCAAUGAACUUAAAGACGGUGACGUGGAAGCGACAGGAUUCUACAACAUUCUCAGCCCUCCAGUCUUCACGCAGACCUUCCGUCUUAACUAGACCCCCAACUCCCAGAGAGAUGAUUCAAGGUUUAAGUGUCAGAAGAACAGGAAGCAGAAGGAAGGAGCCUCGGGAAGCAGGGACAGGCUGUCUGGUUGCCGCCUUAGGGGGACAAACAAACCGAGCACCAGAAUCCUUUGUCCACUAUCAGAGGAACGAGCGUCCUUUCCUCUGGGCACAUGAAGAGAACAGAGAAGCGACCUUCGUGUGCCCAGACCUUGGCAUCACUGGUAGAUGGCAGUGGCGUCUCUGCCCCCAACGUAGCUGGAGAGGAGCGGCUGGCCCCUCCCCCCAAAUUCUGAUGCGGACCCACUCUGCUGCUCAGCCAUUCAGCACUGGGCAGCAGUUUUCCCGUAAGCUCACUGGGAAAAACCAAUAACCACAUCCCUCCAAGAAAGAUCAAGAGGACUCAUGAAUUAAAUUCUCUCACACGAUGAAAUUACUUCACACCCAACAACGGUUUAAUUUGAAGAGACCUUCAUGCAGACCCUGGGGGGAGCUGAGACUUAUGAACCCGCUCACUUACUCUCCCUCUCUGGGUCAACUCUAUUAAAUACUAUUUAAAAAAUGCUAAAUGCCACAGUGUCCUUCAAAGGCGGCCCAAGCCUGCCCACCCGGGUUGUACAGCGGCUCAGAUCGUAGCUCUUUUACUUUGGGAAAGGGCCAUGGCUGGGGCGCGGGGAGGGGGAGGGAGAGGAAGGGAACAGAUGAAGAAACGGAGACCUGUGAUGUUAGCCAGAGCAUCUGGGCCUGUUAAGACACCACACAGUCACCAAGUCCUUCCCUCUGCCUCUAGGGAGGCUAAAAAUCAACUCAAAAAGGUAGUGCCUUCAUGAGGCCUUUGCUGAAAAUCCCACUCUGUGCCUCAGCAACGCAGGCCACAAGCCACACCUGGCCAGGUAGGGAGUUGAUGCGUCUUGGUGCUUGAAAGAUUUCUUCCUCUGCCCCUUGCUGGUUGGGUGUCCUUGGGUGAGCUGUGUACAGGCUCUGAGCUGUUCAUGUGCAAAACAGUGGCUAUUGUUUGUCUGCCUAGAACCAUCCCUUCCUUCCCCAACUUUAAGGGUAAUUACAGUAUCCAUAGCACUCCCUGACCACUCCAGGGAGGGAUGCUGACUCAGGCCUGGGAUAGGGUUCAAGAAACACUACCCCCAAACCUGGCACCUUGAAUAUUUUAAGCUGAAGGAGUUUGAGAAAAUGGCAGAACCAGGAAUGUCACUCUUCUCACCUGAAACAGGUCAUAAAGCCCUUAUGUGAGAGGUGCCCUCCCUAUACCAGAAGGAAAGGAGCAUCCUUAUUUCUGAAGACAAAGGGACACUGAGAUGAAACUGAACAGUCUGGCUAAGAUUCCCCGCAGUUUACUACAAUUACCACAUACUCUUGACCUUCUCCACGACUGUCCACUCUUCAUCAAGCCGGGCAUAACAAUGCUCAGCGUGAACUGUUUCUUCGAGUCUUCGUUUCCUUAUGAAGACUCCCAAGUCACGUAGAACUUACAUUAGAUAAAUGUUAUGCCUUUUUCCUGUUAAUCUGUCUUUGUCCAUUUAAUGUUCAGACCCAGCCAGGAACCCUAAGAGGGUCAAGAAAAACUUUGUCCUCCACAACACCAGGCAAUUUAAUGUUGCAUCUCCUCCAAACAUGGCAGAGGAAAUCCAUCCAAGAAAGGCUAAUCAUACUCCUUCUCAGGGAUUCCCUGAAUUGGGGUUAGAAGGAAUGCUCACUCCGGGGGGUUACAAUGCUGAAAAAAAUGCCAGUGUCUAACGAGGUCAAUGAGAGAGACAGAGACAGAGAGGGACAGUGACUGAGACAGAGAAACAGAGAGCAAGGGAUAGAGGGAGGGAGGGAGUCACAGCAUCUGGCUUCCUGGACCCAAUCCCUGAAGCCACAUCUGCUUAACGUGAUUUGGUUUCGUAACCAUUAAGCGCCUUGCUUUUGCAUAAACUAGUUUGAAAUGGUCUCUACCGCUUAUAAGAGAAAGAAUUUUGAUUAACAUAGUCAACUGCUUUUAAGAAUUAUGGUACUGGGAUGAUGGAAAUGUUCCAAAAUUAGAUUAUGGUGAUGGUUGCACUUCUCUGUAAAUUUACUAAAAAUCAUUGAAUUUUGCACUUAGAACAAGUACAUUAUAUUGUAUAUAAAUUAUGUAUGCAAUAAAAAAGUAUUGUUGCUUGACAAAACCAGUAAGUAUGUUUAUAAAAUAAAGAUAAUUAUCAUGGCGGUUGUUUGGUCCAGUCUU